AAAAAGAUUUUUCUGAAUAUAAUCUUAAAAAUGUUUGUUUCUUUCCAUCUUCAUGUCACUACCAUGAAUGGUAAGAGUGGCAAGAAAGACAUGAAAGGUUAGCUAAGUUUGAAUGUACAAAAAAAUCUGAAUGUGUAGAAUGUGGAUAUAUUAAAAACUAUAACUUGUGUUAAAGUGUAGCAUGAAUCUUAUAUGUGGAAAAUGUCACUAUUUCUGAAACGGUCAUCUGUUUCUUUUUGUUUUGUUUUUUUGCAUGACCUAACCCUUUCCAUGCCACGGUUUGAGCCGUCACAAUGGCAAACAUGCCGUCACAAAGGUGAAUAUGCCGUCAGUGGAAAACGGUAAGAACACCAGAAACAUGUACUAACUUGUGUUAAAGUGCAGCAUGAAUUUUUUAUUCUGAAAAAUCACUGUAUUUCUGAAUAUGUUCAUCUGUUUCUUUCUUUGCACGACUCUUUUCAACUAUAUGCCAUGGUUUGAGCCAUCACAAUUGUGAAAAAUGGUAAGAUAACAGCAAUACUGGAAUACAUUACAGGACUUUUUAAAAGAUUUAAAU
rnacentral:lncRNA from 1 species